CCUACGGGAGGCAGCAGUGAGGAAUAUUGGUCAAUGGACGAGAGUCUGAACCAGCCAAGUCGCGUGAAGGAUGACUGCCCUAUGGGUUGUAAACUUCUUUUAUAUGGGAAUAAAAUGUUCCACGUGUGGGAUUUUGUAUGUACCAUAUGAAUAAGGAUCGGCUAACUCCGUGCCAGCAGCCGCGGUAAUACGGAGGAUCCGAGCGUUGUCCGGAUUUAUUGGGUUUAAAGGUGGCGUAGGUGGAUUGGUAAGUCAGUUGUGAAAGUUUGCGGCUCAACCGUAAAAUUGCAGUUGAAACUGGGAGUCUAGAGUAAAGUAGAGGGAGGCGGAAUUCGUGGUGUAGCAGUGAAAUGCGUAGAUAUCACGAAGAACUCCGAUUGCGAAGGCAGCUUACUGGACUGCAACUGACGCUGAGGCACGAAAGUGUGGGGAUCAAACAGGAUUAGAUACCCGAGUAGUC
rnacentral:rRNA from 1 species